CAGCCGCCGCGGUAACACGUAGGAGGCAAGCGUUGUCCGGAAUUAUUGGGCAUAAAGGGCUCGCAGGCGGUUUCUUAAGUCUGAUGUGAAAGCCCCCGGCUCAACCGGGGAGGGUCAUUGGAAACUGGGAAACUUGAGUGCAGAAGAGGAGAGUGGAAUUCCACGUGUAACGGUGAAAUGCGUAGAGAUGUGGAGGAACACCAGUGGCGAAGGCGACUCUCUGGUCUGUAACUGACGCUGAGGAGCGAAAGCGUGAGGAGCGAACAGGAUUAGAUACCCCCGUAGUCCCUGUCUCUUAUAC
rnacentral:rRNA from 1 species